ACCCCUUAACUUCUUUUUCUUCCUUAUACAAACAGAUGCCCGCAUGUGACCAGCCAUUGGUUCCUCAGUCAUGGCCAUCCGACUUGUCUCCAGGGAGGAGUCAGUGUUAGGCACUUGGUUAUUCUUUGUCAACUGACUGACUGCAAAGGGAGGCUUCUAGUCUUCACCUCUGACUUUUGGAUGCCAGUUAGAAGCCACCCUCUUUCCUGACAGCAGAAUGUCAGAGAUGAGAGCAGCAAAGGAAGUGGACCCUGGAGGCUGUGUUUCCACAGGCAAAGGAGGUUAAGACCUAAAGAGUGAACUGGCCUCGUUGUCUGAUGUCGUCUCUGCUCAGCUCUACGGUCUCCGAAGAGGGACAGAACUUGGUGAGGAGUGCAAACAUUGGAAUAUAAAUCUAUCUGAAAUGUUGAGAAUCGCUGAGAAAACGUUGCUGUGAGUUGUUGAGCUAAUGUAGAAGCAAUCACUGAAUCCAGGACAAAACGAGCUAAGCCAUCAAGCAAAGCAAAAUCUUAUCACAGAGAGCUAGAGUCUAUGUUAAGUGGAGUCUGUACCCGGAGAAGAACGCCUAAUGUAAAUUAAUGACCAGGAGUAUUUGAAAACUCCAUCACACACGAGUAGUAUCGCCGCCAAAUAAUAUACUAAUUGUUAUUGUAUUAAAAUAAACGUUGCCCCUCAUGUACUCC